UUAAAUUCCUCAACCAAAGAAAAUGUGAACAAGUCUUCAAAUCAAAACAGUAGCAGAACUAAGCUGAAGCUGAAGGCGUGACAUCAAAGGCCUGAUAUAAAAAGCAAGUGGGUUUAACUGGACCGGACGGGUCAGCUGCAUGACUCAGCACCAGCAGGUCCAAACAGGGCGCAGCCACAAAGAGGCUGUAGAGAGCCCGGUUAGGCCCAAAGCUCCAGUCUGCCUGUCAGCAGGAAUGUGCUGCUCAUACCGGACCCCAGCAUCACACUGGCAUCACGCUACCAACAGGAUUAAACCACAAACUGCAGCUGGGAAACUGCAUGAAACAAAAUUUUUUACUCAAGCAGACACGGCCAUAAAAACCUCUUCUUCCUGUGACUGCCUCCCGUUUCUCCUCAUUUAACGGGUGAAAGAGAGAGAAAGAGGAAGAAAAGAGAGAUAAAAACGAUAGGAAGAAAAGAAAAGGUCAAUCCAUCAAGCAGAACUCAGUCCCUUUGUAUCCUCUUUACUUUCAUUCAGUCUAAAUGUUGAGAUUCAUUGAAAAAUAAAAACAAAAACAACAAACUCUUUUUAAAAAUGUAUUUGUUUUCGAGCGAAGUCAUGACAUCUACAUGUACAUUCAGAAAACAAAACGAUUUAGCAGUAAAAUAGGUUUGAUAUGUUCGACUUUGCACUGCAAGUCUUGUCAUGAAACAUUACAUAUUUAACAUUUGGAUACGUAGAAACAUUCCUAACAACUAGCUUGUUUUCCUUUGCCUGUCCCAGGGUUCCUCCUUAAAUAAGACACUAAUUUUAAACAUGAAACAUUAUUUAGCUGCCUUUAAGGUGUAACAGCCCCAUAUAUACCUCCAUGUUUGCUGUUAUUAGCCCAUAAUUUAAAGCUGGACAUGUCAUCUGAACCCUGGGGAAAACAAAGUCGUCAUGGGGGAUGGAGAACGAAAUCUGGCAUCCGACGUUGGCUCUGCUCCAGGUUGUCUUUGGCUCGCUAGCACACCUGCAUUAACUCACAUCUUAAAUGAGACCUGAUGAGUUUUCACUGCAUGUGACAAAGCAGAGAUGCACCAAGGAAUCUUUCCAGGACCGAUUUAUGGAUUAUGUGGUGACUGACUGGUCCGAGUCAAGCUAACACUUUUCUAUGUGCAAAUCAAUCUUAGAUAUUUGCAGGAACCAGAGGAUGUAGAUAUUCAUAAAAAUCAUUAAUGAAUGAACUGCAGACAUGUUGAGAAAUGUCUGCAGUUCAUUCAGGCUGUAAGACGGUGAGAGAGAGCAAGACAAAGGAACCAUGAACGUGAUUCAGCCAAGUUUGGCUCAAUUGCGUUUAACUAGAUUACGUUUAGCUAAAUUAAACCAAUUUUUGAAUGAAUUGUGCUUAGAUAAAUUGAACUGUUUGGCUAAAAACUUAGCAUAACUUAGCUAAUUAUGCUAAGCCUGGCUAAAUUACAUCAGGUUUGGCUGAAAUUCACUUACCUAAAUUGCUAUGCUAAGUUUAGGUAAAUUACAUCUUGCUGAAUUAUGCAAAGUUUGGUUAAAUCACGUUUAGGAACCCAGAAUGUAAUUUAGCCAAGCUUGUGUUUCAUCCUUUCCUCUUUAUCUCUCAGGAUUUAAGAUAAGAUAAGGCAAUUCUCUAGUGAAUAUACAAGAGAAUGCUAAAAGAGUUAGCUUUGCUAACCCCAAAUAUAAGACGGUAAAUGCGAUUUAAAAUGGAAAUGUUAUUAUAGUGUCUGAUUUAAAAUAAAUAAUUGCUUUUAAACAGAAAGUAUGACAUAAUUUCUUCUAACAAAAAUACAAAGGGCUCCUGUUAUUUGAGACAGCAGCGAAUAGCUAAAA